GCAUCGGUGGUGUAAUGGUUUGAGCACGCGUCCCCGGAUAGGAUGAAACGCGGGUUCGAUUCCCGUCAGAGGCC